rnacentral:rRNA from 1 species
CAGGAUGAACGCUAGCUACAGGCUUAACACAUGCAAGUCGAGGGGUAGCAGGGUAGCAAUACCGCUGACGACCGGCGCACGGGUGAGUAACACGUAUCCAACCUUCCCAUAACUCAGGGAUAGCCUUUCGAAAGAAAGAUUAAUACCUGAUAGUACUUUUUCAAGGCAUCUUGAGAAAGUUAAAGAUUUAUUGGUUAUGGAUGGGGAUGCGUUCCAUUAGAUAGUUGGUGAGGUAACGGCUCACCAAGUCUUCGAUGGAUAGGGGUUCUGAGAGGAAGGUCCCCCACAUUGGUACUGAGACACGGACCAAACUCCUACGGGAGGCAGCAGUGAGGAAUAUUGGUCAAUGGGCGAGAGCCUGAACCAGCCAAGUAGCGUGAAGGAUGAAGGUCCUAUGGAUUGUAAACUUCUUUUAUAGUAGAAUAAAGUGAUCCACGUGUGGAUUUUUGUAUGUAUACUAUGAAUAAGGAUCGGCUAACUCCGUGCCAGCCGCAGC